rnacentral:rRNA from 1 species
GUUAUAUGGUCAAGUGAAGAAGCGCAUACGGUGGAUGCCUUGGCAGUCAGAGGCGAUGAAAGACGUGGUAGCCUGCGAAAAGCUUCGGGGAGUCGGCAAACAGACUUUGAUCCGGAGAUGUCUGAAUGGGGGAACCCAGCCAUCAUAAGAUGGUUAUCUUGUACUGAAUACAUAGGUGCAAGAGGCGAACCAGGGGAACUGAAACAUCUAAGUACCCUGAGGAAAAGAAAUCAACCGAGAUUCCCUUAGUAGUGGCGAGCGAACGGGGACUAGCCCUUAAGUGGCUUUGAGAUUAGCGGAACGCUCUGGAAAGUGCGGCCAUAGUGGGUGAUAGCCCUGUACGCGAAAAUCUCUUAGUCAUGAAAUCGAGUAGGACGGAGCACGAGAAACUUUGUCUGAAUAUGGGGGGACCAUCCUCCAAGGCUAAAUACUACUGACUGACCGAUAGUGAACUAGUACCGUGAGGGAAAGGCGAAAAGAACCCCGGAGAGGGGAGUGAAAUAGAUCCUGAAACCGUAUGCGUACAAGCAGUGGGAGCCCACUUUGUUGGGUGACUGCGUACCUUUUGUAUAAUGGGUCAGCGACUUAUUUUCAGUGGCGAGCUUAACCGAAUAGGGGAGGCGUAGCGAAAGCGAGUCUUAAUAGGGCGUCUAGUCGCUGGGAAUAGACCCGAAACCGGGCGAUCUAUCCAUGGGCAGGUUGAAGGUUGGGUAACACUAACUGGAGGACCGAACCGACUACCGUUGAAAAGUUAGCGGAUGACCUGUGGAUCGGAGUGAAAGGCUAAUCAAGCUCGGAGAUAGCUGGUUCUCCUCGAAAGCUAUUUAGGUAGCGCCUCAUGUAUCACUGUAGGGGGUAGAGCACUGUUUCGGCUAGGGGGUCAUCCCGACUUACCAAACCGAUGCAAACUCCGAAUACCUACAAGUGCCGAGCAUGGGAGACACACGGCGGGUGCUAACGUCCGUCGUGAAAAGGGAAACAACCCAGACCGUCAGCUAAGGUCCCAAAGUUAUGGUUAAGUGGGAAACGAUGUGGGAAGGCUUAGACAGCUAGGAGGUUGGCUUAGAAGCAGCCACCCUUUAAAGAAAGCGUAAUAGCUCACUAGUCGAGUCGGCCUGCGCGGAAGAUGUAACGGGGCUCAAACCAUACACCGAAGCUACGGGUAUCACGUAAGUGAUGCGGUAGAGGAGCGUUCUGUAAGCCUGUGAAGGUGAGUUGAGAAGCUUGCUGGAGGUAUCAGAAGUGCGAAUGCUGACAUGAGUAACGAUAAUGGGUGUGAAAAACACCCACGCCGAAAGACCAAGGUUUCCUGCGCAACGUUAAUCGACGCAGGGUUAGUCGGUCCCUAAGGCGAGGCUGAAAAGCGUAGUCGAUGGAAAACAGGUUAAUAUUCCUGUACUUCUGGUUAUUGCGAUGGAGGGACGGAGAAGGCUAGGCCAGCUUGGCGUUGGUUGUCCAAGUUUAAGGUGGUAGGCUGGAAUCUUAGGUAAAUCCGGGAUUCUAAGGCCGAGAGCUGAUGACGAGUUAUCUUUUAGAUAACGAAGUGGUUGAUGCCAUGCUUCCAAGAAAAGCUUCUAAGCUUCAGGUAACCAGGAACCGUACCCCAAACCGACACAGGUGGUUGGGUAGAGAAUACCAAGGCGCUUGAGAGAACUCGGGUGAAGGAACUAGGCAAAAUGGCACCGUAACUUCGGGAGAAGGUGCGCCGGUGAGGGUGAAGGACUUGCUCCGUAAGCUCAUGCCGGUCGAAGAUACCAGGCCGCUGCGACUGUUUAUUAAAAACACAGCACUCUGCAAACACGAAAGUGGACGUAUAGGGUGUGACGCCUGCCCGGUGCCGGAAGGUUAAUUGAUGGGGUUAGCUAACGCGAAGCUCUUGAUCGAAGCCCCGGUAAACGGCGGCCGUAACUAUAACGGUCCUAAGGUAGCGAAAUUCCUUGUCGGGUAAGUUCCGACCUGCACGAAUGGCGUAACGAUGGCGGCGCUGUCUCCACCCGAGACUCAGUGAAAUUGAAAUCGCUGUGAAGAUGCAGUGUAUCCGCGGCUAGACGGAAAGACCCCGUGAACCUUUACUAUAGCUUUGCACUGGACUUUGAAUUUGCUUGUGUAGG